rnacentral:tRNA from 1 species
GCGAGGGGUGGCGAAGUGGCAGACGCGAGGGACUUAAGAUCCCUGCUCCUUCGGGACGCGUAGGUUCGAAUCCGACCCCCGUGCA